CCUGGCGGCUGUAGCGCGGUGGUCCCACCUGACCCCAUGCCGAACUCAGAAGUGAAACGCCGUAGCGCCGAUGGUAGUGUGGGGCCUCCCC
rnacentral:rRNA from 1 species